UAUUCAUCACAGUUUUGUGUGUAUUCUGAGUGUCCUCCUAGGACUCAUUUUCUAAUAGGAUACUGAAAAGUAAAAUUAUCUAAUCUAGUGAAUAUAAUACAAGAAAAUGGCUUUCCAGGAGAAACCAAAGUUAGUAUAUUUUGAAAUAUGAUCACAAAUAAAAAACUGCUCCCAUAUCUCAGCUUGAGGGAAUCUGAGCUUCUGAAGAGUAUUUUCCCUCUGUCUCUGAUAUUGAACAUAUUUCUUCAGUGUUUUUAAUCAUAUAUUUAUUUUUCUUCAGCUAAUAUUUUGAGGUUUUAUUCUGUGCCCAGUACACAUCUAAUUUUCCACAUUAGGCUCUCAGUCUUUUCAGGUAAAAUUCACUUACUUAUUCAACGAAUACUUAUUGAAAAACUAUUAUAUGUACCUAGAAUUGUGCCUGACCCUGAAAAAAACAAUGGUACAUAAAUGCAGGUGCAACCCCGUACCCUCUAAAGAAGUUGAAAUGCUAGCGGGUGGGAAGGGAGAAGUGAAGGGAUUAUCCUUAGAUAGAAGGCAGCAGCCACACCUCCUUCCCCUCCCUCCAUUGUAACAGGUGGGUCACUGAAGUGAUGGGUGAAAGUAUAGUCAGAUUAGAAUGUUUAGUCAGAAAGUGAGGAAUGUUUCCAUAUAUAAAGAUCUACAAGGGGUGAUCAUUUGCUGAGAGACAUGGAAUGGGUAGUGUCAGAAUCUUCUAUUCAUGUGCGUAUUCUUGGCAACAAGUGGAACAAUUCUUAGCACAGACCCAGUACUUCUGAAAUGUUGGUUGUAUAGAUGACUUUCUCAUGGGAAUGAAGGAAUGAAGAACUGAAUGAAUGAUUCUGUUGAACUUGUACUCGGAAGGCCUAAGUGGUUGAAAGCUCAUGAGGGCUAUAGAACUGUCCUUCAAAGCAGGGUUAAAGAAACUAAAGUCCAGUCAUCCAAGGCAUAUCAGCUAUAUGUGAAGAAAUCCACACAUAAGUCAAUGAAAUUGUUUUUCUUUUUUUUGAAUUUUUAUUUAUUUAUUCAUGAGAGACACAGAGAAAGGCAGAGAAAUAGGCUCCAUACAGGGAGCCCCACGUGGGACCCCAUCCUGGGACUCCAGGAUCAUGCCCUGAGCCAAAGGCAGACCAGGUGAGCCACCCAGGGGUCCCUGAAAUUUUGGAUAUCAAAGACAAAACAUUGGCAUAUAUAAGUUGCUGAAUAAUUACUACUUCCCAUUUCUCUUUUCUACAUCACUCUUCCAAGAAAUUUAGUCAGAUAGGGCAAUUAACUCGUAUGACUUUGUAUAGUGUCCAUUUAUUAAAGCAUAUUUUAUUGUUAAUUUGAUAUCUGUUGGGACUUUUAUUUGAACGUUAUACAGCCUCUAGUGGCUCUUCUAGGGCUGGGGCAAAUUAGUAGUCAUUUGGACAAGCAAUUUUACUGGAUUCAAAUACAGAAAAUAAACUUUUAUUCAAAAACCA
rnacentral:lncRNA from 1 species